rnacentral:rRNA from 1 species
GAUGAACGCUGGCGGCGUGCCUAACACAUGCAAGUCGGGCGACUCUCUUCGGAGAAGAGCGGCGGACGGGUGAGUAACGCGUGGGUAACCUGCCCUGUACACACGGAUAACAUACCGAAAGGUAUGCUAAUACGAGAUAAUAUGCUUUUAUCGCAUGGUAGAAGUAUCAAAGCUACCGCUGAAGGAUGGGCCUGCGUCUGAUUAGCUAGUUGGUGGGGUAAAGGCCUACCAAGGCGACGAUCAGUAGCCGGUCUGAGAGGAUGAACGGCCACACUGGGACUGAGACACGGCCCAGACUCCUACGGGAGGCAGCAGUGGGGAAUCUUCCGCAAUGGGCGAAAGCCUGACGGAGCAACGCCGCGUGAGUGGAGAAGGUCUUCGGAUUGUAAAGCUCUGUUUAAAGGGACGAAUGGCAGAUUUGUGAAUAAUGAAUUUGCAUGACGGUACCUUUGGAGGAAGCCACGGCUAACUACGUGCCAGCCGCCGCAGUAA